rnacentral:rRNA from 1 species
AUGGCGCCCAAGCGGAAGGGUGGCAACGGCCGGAAGAAGACCGUCCUCCUCCCGAUCGUCAAGGAAGACGCCCGCUAUGUGUGCUUCUCAAAGCGCAAGCGGGGGCUGUUCAGCAAGGCCAGCGCGCUGUCCCUGCUCACCGGCGCCCAGGUGGCCGCCGUCGUCUUCUCGCCCAGCGGCAAGGUCUUCUUUUUCGCCCACCCCUCCGUCGACGCCGUCGUCAACCGCUUCAUGGCGGGGGACGCCGCGUUGGUCAAGGCCGCGCCGCCGACAACGGGUUGCAGACGCUGCAGCUGCAGCACGGCGAGAUGCGCUCCGAGCUGGCGGACCAGAAGAAGCGGAAGAAGCGCGCUGAGGAGGCCCUGGACAAGGAGCGCGCUGCUGGGGACCAGAUUGCCUCGUGGCUCCACCCCGACGCGCGCGACAUGGGGCAUGACGACAUGGCAGCCUUCGCCGCCGCGCUCUUGCAGGUCCAGGCCGCCGUCUCCGGACGCGCCAACCAGGUUCUCGUCGAGGCCUUUCGCGUCGACAUCAGCCGUAUGCUCCAGGUGCCCCCGCCGCCGCCCCCUCCGCUCCAGCUCUUCGGUGCCAGCACCUUUGAGUUCGGUAGCAGCAGCAGCAGCGCCAACGCCGGGAUGGAGAUGCCACCGCCGCCUGACUUCCCCGCAGUGA